UAGCAAAGCAGCGCGCUACAGGAUACUGUUUCUUCAAACAAUUACAACUUGAUUUACAUUUCUGACAUCCGAAUAUGAGGUGGAACGUGAAAUGCAACUGUGACGUGCAAUGACCUCGAUCUUAGUGAACACAAUAGAGAAUUAAAUUUCAGAACGCAUGAAAGGACUCAUUAUGCGCUGUGCACUUCCUAGGGCAGUUUGGAACAUAAAUCAGCGUGGAAAGAGAGGAGGACGAAAUUUUUGAGAGAAUAUUCAGCAAACAGUCGCCCCUCGGGAACCCGGCACCCCCGAUCCGCGAGUUCCACGCAAAGCGAUCCGCUCGCUGCCAGUUAGAAGCCUAACUAUCUCCGACGUUUAAUCGUUAAACCGCCCGCCGCGCGUAAACUCUCGUGUUCCCCGCACCUGACGAACUGCAAACUGGUUCCAGUUCGCAGCUCGAACCCUCUGGGUUCACCGGCGAAACGUCGAGUUUCCCUCGUUAACGUUUUUAACGGAGCGUAAGAGUUUCGCGGAGAGAAAAGAGAGAGAGAGAGAGCAAGAGAGAGAGAGAGAGAGGAAGAGAGGGAGAGGCCGGUAUUGCAAUCGGAUACAAGCCGUCAACGACGAACAAACGAUCCUCGACGGAUUUUAGGUGGGAAAGGACGACGCGGCCCUUUUGACGAACAAGAUUACAGGCUGAGAUCGUACAUGUACAGAGUGUUCCCAAAUUAAAAGACAAGAGACCCAUGAACUAACGCAGUUGCAUAUGUAUAAAGAGGCUAUUCAAAGUGUCGACUCCGUGCAGAAAUGCAAGCACUGCAUCAAAGUUUCACAAAUACACUCCAAAACUUGGUGCAAAACAAACAUCGUUCGCACCAAUCGCAAGCCACAGCAACUGCACAGACACAUUCAUCUUUUCCGUGAAUAAUUUUACUGAAAUGAAAAUAAUAAAACAGUGUCUUCAAAUUCCAUAUAUGCAUCCUUUCACCGAAUAAUUUAACCGAGAUAUAAAUAAUAAAAUAAUACUAUCAAAUUCAA